rnacentral:rRNA from 1 species
GAUGAACGCUGGCGGCGUGCCUAAUACAUGCAAGUCGAGCGAACGGACGAGAAGCUCGCUUCUCUGAUGUUAGCGGCGGACGGGUGAGUACCACGUGGAUAACCUACAUAUAAGACUGGGAUAAAUUCGGGAAACCGGAGAUAAUACCGGACAAUAUUUUGAAACGCAUGGUUCAUAAGUGAAAGACGGUCUUGCUGUCACUUAUAGAUGGAUCCUAGCUGCAUUAGCUAGUUGGUAAGGUAACGGCUUACCAAGGCAACGAUGCAUAGCCGACCUGAGAGGAUGAUCGGCCACACUGGAACUGAGACACGGUCCAGACUCCUACGGGAGGCAGCAGUAGGGAAUCUUCCGCAAUGGGCGAAAGCCUGACGGAGCAACGCCGCGUGAGUGAUGAAGGUCUUCGGAUCGUAAAACUCUGUUAGUAGGGAAGAACGUAUGUGUAAGUAACUGUGCACAUCUUGACGGUACCUAAUCAGAAAGCCACGGCUAACUACGUG